rnacentral:rRNA from 1 species
GACGAACCGUGCGAACGUUGUUCGGAAUCACUGGGCUUAAAGGGCGCGUAGGCGGCUUGUCAAGUCCGGGGUGAAAUCCUCCAGCUUAACUGGAGAAGUGCCUUGGAUACUGGCGAGCUCGAGUGAGGUAGGGGCAGUUGGAACUUCCGGUGGAGCGGUGAAAUGCGUUGAUAUCGGAAGGAACGCCGGUGGCGAAAGCGAACUGCUGGACCUCUUCUGACGCUGAGGCGCGAAAGCUAGGGGAGCGAACGGG